rnacentral:rRNA from 1 species
CAUGCAAGUCGAGCGGAAACGAUCCUAGCUUGCUAGGAGGCGUCGAGCGGCGGACGGGUGAGUAAUGCAUAGGAAUCUGCCCGGUAGUGGGGGAUAACCUGAGGAAACUCAGGCUAAUACCGCAUACGUCCUACGGGAGAAAGCAGGGGCUCUUCGGACCUUGCGCUAUCGGAUGAGCUUAUGUCGGAUUAGCUGGUUGGUGAGGUAACGGCUCACCAAGGCGACGAUCCGUAGCUGGUCUGAGAGGAUGAUCAGCCACAUCGGGACUGAGACACGGCCCGAACUCCUACGGGAGGCAGCAGUGGGGAAUAUUGGACAAUGGGGGCAACCCUGAUCCAGCCAUGCCGCGUGUGUGAAGAAGGCCCUCGGGUUGUAAAGCACUUUCAGUGAGGAAGAAGGCUUGUCGGUUAAUACCCGGCAAGAAAGACAUCACUCACAGAAGAAGCACCGGCUAACUCCGUGCCAGCAGCCGCGGUAAUACGGAGGGUGCGAGCGUUAAUCGGAAUUACUGGGCGUAAAGCGUGCGUAGGCGGCUUGAUAAGCCGGUUGUGAAAGCCCCGGGCUCAACCUGGGAACGGCAUCCGGAACUGUCAGGCUAGAGUGCAGGAGAGGAAGGUAGAAUUCCCGGUGUAGCGGUGAAAUGCGUAGAGAUCGGGAGGAAUACCAGUGGCGAAGGCGGUCUUCUGGACUGACUCUGUCUCUGAGGUACGAAAGCGUGGGUAGCUAACAGGAUUAGAUUCCCUGGUAUUCCACGCCUUAA